UUUUUGUACUCGAUGUUAUAUUACAAAUUCAUGGGAUUAUAACCAACUUUCAAGGAUAUUCAACAGAAAUAAUACAAAUAUUUGGUGUCACAAAACUAGAGCCUCCUGCCGGAGCUUUCAGGGACGUUGGAUUACAGAUUCGAUUCAGUUUCAUUAAGUUGGUUGAAGUAUGUGGACAGGAAGUAUGUGUUAGGAAUCACACGUUAAAAGAAUGAUCUUCGGAGAAUUGGGCCGCGUUUUCAAUCUGAAGAAAAAUCUGUUAUUUGGGACGGUAGCCAGAUCCAGCAUCAAUAAAGACAGUGAGAGUGAUGAUAAUAGUGAUGAA